GGUGGGGUAGCUCAGUGGUAGAGUACAUGCUUUAAGUGCACGGGGUCCUGGGUUCAAUCCUCAGUACGUCCA
rnacentral:tRNA from 1 species